GACGAACGCUGGCGGCGUGCCUAACACAUGCAAGUCGAACGGAGAGAUACUAGAGCUUGCUCUUGUACAUCUUAGUGGCAAACGGGUGAGUAACGCGUAACCAACCUGCCCAACGGAGGGGGCCACCAGACGGAAACGACUGCUAAUACCCAAUAGACUCCGUUUUCGCAUGAAGCCGACAGGAAAGGUGGCCUCUCGAAGAAGCUACCGCCGCAGGAGGGGUUUGCGUGUGAUUAGUUAGUUGGGGGGGUAACGGCCUACCAAGACGAUGAUCAAUAGCCCGUCGGAGAGGAUGAAAGGCCACACGGGAACUGAGACGCGGUCAAGACUCCUGCGGGAGGGCGCAGAGGGGAAUCGGCGGCAAUGGUGGAAAGUCUGACGCAGCAAGGGCGCGUGAGUGAAGAAGGCCUUGGGGGUGUAAAGAUGUGUUAUUCGGGAAGAACGAUUCGUGUGUAAAAAAUGAACGGAGGUAACGGAACCGAAAGAGAAAGCCCCGGUAAAUUCCGU
rnacentral:rRNA from 1 species